rnacentral:rRNA from 1 species
CUUUUACAAUGAAGAGUUUGAUCCUGGCUCAGGAUGAACGCUAGCUACAGGCUUAACACAUGCAAGUCGAGGGGCAGCAUCAUCAAAGCUUGCUUUGAUGGAUGGCGACCGGCGCACGGGUGAGUAACACGUAUCCAACCUGCCGACAACACUGGGAUAGCCUUUCGAAAGAAAGAUUAAUACCGGAUGGCAUAGUUUUCCCGCAUGGGAUAAUUAUUAAAGAAUUUCGGUUGUCGAUGGGGAUGCGUUCCAUUAGGCAGUUGGCGGGGUAACGGCCCACCAAACCAACGAUGGAUAGGGGUUCUGAGAGGAAGGUCCCCCACAUUGGAACUGAGACACGGUCCAAACUCCUACGGGAGGCAGCAGUGAGGAAUAUUGGUCAAUGGACGAGAGUCUGAACCAGCCAAGUAGCGUGAAGGAUGACUGCCCUAUGGGUUGUAAACUUCUUUUAUACGGGAAUAAAGUUAGCCACGUGUGGCUUUUUGUAUGUACCGUAUGAAUAAGGAUCGGCUAACUCCGUGCCAGCAGCCGCGGUAAUACGGAGGAUCCGAGCGUUAUCCGGAUUUAUUGGGUUUAAAGGGAGCGUAGGCGGGUUGUUAAGUCAGUUGUGAAAGUUUGCGGCUCAACCGUAAAAUUGCAGUUGAUACUGGCGACCUUGAGUGCAACAGAGGUAGGCGGAAUUCGUGGUGUAGCGGUGAAAUGCUUAGAUAUCACGAAGAACUCCGAUUGCGAAGGCAGCUUACUGGAUUGUAACUGACGCUGAUGCUCGAAAGUGUGGGUAUCAAACAGGAUUAGAUACCCUGGUAGUCCACACAGUAAACGAUGAAUACUCGCUGUUGGCGAUAUACGGUCAGCGGCCAAGCGAAAGCAUUAAGUAUUCCACCUGGGGAGUACGCCGGCAACGGUGAAACUCAAAGGAAUUGACGGGGGCCCGCACAAGCGGAGGAACAUGUGGUUUAAUUCGAUGAUACGCGAGGAACCUUACCCGGGCUUAAAUUGCAACUGACUGAAUCGGAAACGGUUCUUUCUUCGGACAGUUGUGAAGGUGCUGCAUGGUUGUCGUCAGCUCGUGCCGUGAGGUGUCGGCUUAAGUGCCAUAACGAGCGCAACCCUUACGGGUAGUUACCAUCAGGUUAUGCUGGGGACUCUACCCGGACUGCCGUCGUAAGAUGUGAGGAAGGUGGGGAUGACGUCAAAUCAGCACGGCCCUUACGUCCGGGGCUACACACGUGUUACAAUGGGGGGUACAGAAGGCAGCUACACGGCGACGUGGUGCUAAUCCCGAAAGCCUCUCUCAGUUCGGAUUGGAGUCUGCAACCCGACUCCAUGAAGCUGGAUUCGCUAGUAAUCGCGCAUCAGCCACGGCGCGGUGAAUACGUUCCCGGGCCUUGUACACACCGCCCGUCAAGCCAUGAAAGCCGGGGGUACCUGAAGUACGUAACCGCGAGGAGCGUCCUAGGGUAAAACUGGUGAUUGGGGCUAAGUCGUAACAAGGUAGCCGUACCGGAAGGUGCGGCUGGAACACCUCCUUUCU